rnacentral:sRNA from 1 species
GUCAGAGAGGGACAUGCGCAAUGUACAUUGAAGAUGUCAGUUUCUACAUGUGGGAAGUAGACAUUGAAGGCUUUAUGGUUUACAGACAAGAUCUUUAGAAGUUAAGCACUAAAGGACCAAGGAAAUAAAUACCAGAAAUCAAGAAGAGCACAGACUAUUUUCCUUCAUCAAUCCAUAGAACCCUAAUGCUUCUUUAGUUCCAUCAAACACAGAGGAAUGACCACCAUGGCAGAUGGCAACAGAGGAUGUCAACAAUUUUUUGGAGAGAGAAGAGGUACUCCCUUAUAGGGACUCGUAAAGACGUAGAGCAUCUGGAAAUUAACUGCCUCCAUUACACUGCUGAGUCACACACAACGCUUGUUAUGUUUUCAUCACUUCUCUCCAGAAGGCUACAUUAUUGGAAUUUUGAAGUCAUGAAAACAUCAGAUGAACCAACCUGCAACACCUUGGAUUCAGAUUGGAAGAUAAAGAGAAAGUUUAAAGAAUGUGGCCUAUAAAGGCGGGUACCUGGAAAUAUUAACCGACUCACACUGUAAAAAUGAGA